UUAAAUUAAAAUUAAUCAAGAAAUCUUAUAUAAUAUAAAGAAAUAAAUUGAUGAAAAUAAAAAUAUUUUAAAAAAAACUAUAAAAGGAAAAUAUUAUUUUAGAUUAUGAAAAAAAUAGUAACGAAAGAUGAGUCUGACUCAAUCUAAAGAUUAUUCCAACCCCUUUUUUUAAGCCAAUUUUGUAUCAUGAAGGACUCCACAAAAUUCAGCUAACAUAGAACCAUCCCAAUUGAGAGAUUCAGCAAAAGUCAUAGAAAAUUCACUUGUAUUUCUACAGAAUAAUCUACCACAGUCAAAAAAAAUUGGAUGACACAAC
rnacentral:lncRNA from 1 species